AAAAUAGUGGUGAGUUCUUAUUUUGGGUUUAUUGUAUUUCUUGUGUUUGUAGGAAUUGCAUAGCAGUAAGAGUUAAUGUGAGACAGGCCUUUUUUCCAUUCGUUUGUCUAUUGUAGGUCUUCUUGUUACACUCACUAUUAAUAUGGACUAUUUUGUAUUUGUAAGGCCAAAGACAUUUUUCAUUGUGUGGAUAGUAGAUUGUUAUGUUAUUUUCUAGGUGAUUAUAGAUCCAACUUGUUUUCAGUAGUACAAUAUGUAACUUUUAAAAACUAUUUAUUGCCAGAUCAUCUCUCUUUCUCAAGUCAAAAUAAAGCAGAAGAUCUUUGCACGAUAUUUUGUUGAAACUAAUAGUUUGUCUUUUUGAUUAGGAAAGAAAUGGACAAAUUGAGGAUGAGCAUAUUUGGGUGUUUAACAUUUCUACAUGUAUGUUUGGGUUGCUAUUCUUGGCUCUAUGGCUUUAUAGAAUUGGGUCCUGGAGACAGGAGGAAAAUGCACAACUAGUUUUUUGCAACUGUUUUGAGGGAUUGACACUGCCCCCUUAAAGGGAAAUAUAGAGAAACUAGUAGACCAUUUAUUUUGUGGGAUAUCUUACUUUUCACAUAAUUGAAGUUUAACUUUGUAAGUUUGUAUGUGUUUAUCAUUAUAAGUAAUUGUUGUGAUUGAUGGGAUUUUUCCUUAAUACAUGGGAUAUGUCUCGUUGAAUCUUAUGAUUAUGAGAAAAUCAUGAGAUUGAUUACCAAAAUCUUAGGAGUGAUCUGUGGUUUAUUGAUAGCAUUUCAUAUAUAUUAUGUAUCUUCCAUCAUAAAUAUAGAGUUUCGUGUAUUAUGUAAGACACAACAAAAGUGAAUAAAAUGUAGCCCUCUUGAGGUUCCGUGGAUGUAGGCUCUUCGUAGUCAAACCAUGUAAAUCCUUCUCUUUCUACUUUUCUCCUAUCUUUUUUAUCCUUCUAAAUUUCAAUCACAUUUCUUGGUGCAAUUGUGAAGGCUUUGGACUUGCAACUAUGGGGUAUUAGAUUGAGCCUCGAGUAAUCACUUAAUGUAAAAAUGUGAAGGAUGGAACUAACUCUCCCACUUUCAAUUCCACGAUAAUAUAGUCAACUAGUCAUUACUGGCGAUUAACCUUUUCAAUGUCAUUUUUAGGAUUGAGUCAUUUGGAAUUUUAUCCUGAGGCCACCACAAAAAAAGGCAUAUAAUAAACAUUUUUAUUGCAUAUAUUAUCCAAUUCUUUGCUGAAUGACAAUUUAUUAUGCUCUAUUUCUUCUUUAAUGUGUUCAUAUGAUAUGUGUUUUGUUAGUGACAUGGUGUUUAUUUUGAGAAUUAAUGUGUGAGCGCAUGCUAUGGAAUGGAACAUUAUUUAAUGAUAUUAACUGUUUUGAAAAUACAAAUAAAUUACUGCAAGAUUGAAGAUCCUUAUUUAAUUGUAGG
rnacentral:misc_RNA from 1 species